rnacentral:rRNA from 1 species
GCUUACGGCCAUACCAACCUGGCUAUGCCCGAUCUCGUCUGAUCUCGGAAGCUAAGCAGGUUUGGGCCUGGUUAGUACUUGGAUGGAGACGCCUGGGAAUACCAGGUGCUGUAAGCU